UACGUAGGGUCCGAGCGUUGUCCGGAAUUACUGGGCGUAAAGAGCUCGUAGGUGGUUUGUCGCGUUGUUCGUGAAAACUCACAGCUCAACUGUGGGCGUGCGGGCGAUACGGGCAGACUAGAGUACUGCAGGGGAGACUGGAAUUCCUGGUGUAGCGGUGGAAUGCGCAGAUAUCAGGAGGAACACCGGUGGCGAAGGCGGGUCUCUGGGCAGUAACUGACGCUGAUGUGCGAAAGCGUGGGGAGCAAACAGG
rnacentral:rRNA from 1 species